UAACAGUGAAAUGUUUACUUACAGGCCCUUCCCAACAAUGUAGAGAGAAAAAAAGAGAAAUAAUAUAAAAAUAAUAACACGAGGAAUAAAUACACAAUGAGUAAUGACAACAUGGCUAUAUACACGGGGUACCAGUACCGAGUCCAUGUGCAGCGGUAUGAGGUAAUGCAGGUAGAUAUAUACAUAUAUGUAGAGAUAAAGUGAGUAGGCAACAGGAUAGAUAAUAGACAGUAGCAGCAGCAUAUGUGAUGAGAUAGUGCAAAAAGGGUGAAUGCAGAGAGGGUAGAUAUUGGUCAACUAUUUUAUCUAACUAUUUAGCAGUUUGGGGGGUAGAAGCUGUUCUGGAUCCUGUUAGUUCCAGACUUAGUGCAUCGGUACCGCUUGCCAUGCGGUAGCAGAGAGAACAGUCUAUAACUUGGGUGGCUGGAGUCUUUGAAAAUGUUGAGGGCCUAUAGGUCUUAAGGCUAGGGUUAUGUCUUAAGACUAGAGUUAGGUCUUAAGACUAGGGUUAAGUCUUAGGACUAGGGUUAGGUCACAUGGCUAGGGUUAGGUCUUAAGGCUAGGGCUAGGGUUAGGUCUUAAGGCUAGGGCUAGGGUUAGGUCUUAAGGCUAGGGUGAGGGCUAGGUCUUAAGGCUAGGGCUAGGGCUAGGUCUUAAGGCUAGGGAUAGGGCUAGGGUUAGGUCUUAGGGCUAGGGUUAGGACUAGGUCUUAAGGCUAGGGUUAGGACUAGGGUUAGGUCUUAAGGCUAGGGUUAAGGCUUAAGGCUAGGGUUAGGUUUAAGGCUAGGGUUAGGACUAAGGUUAGGUCUUAAGGCUAGGGUUAGGUCUUAAGGCUAUGGUUAGGUUUUAAGGCUAGGGUUAGGUCUUAAGGCUGGGGUUAGGUCUUAAGGCUAGGGUUAGGGCUAGGUCUUAAGGCUAGGGUUAAGGCUUAAGGCUAGGGUUAGGUUUAAGGCUAGGGUUAGGACUAAGGUUAGGUCUUAAGGCUAGGGUUAGGUCUUAAGGCUAUGGUUAGGUUUUAAGGCUAGGGUUAGGUCUUAGGGAUAGGGUUAGGUUUUACGGCUAGGGUUAGGUCUUAAGGCUAGGGCUGGGGUUAAGGCUAGGGUUAGGUCUUAAGGCUAGAGUUAGGUUUUACGGCUAGGGUUAGGUCUUAAGGCUAGGGUUGGGGCUAGGUCGGCUAGGGUUAGGUCUUAAGGCUAGGGUUAAGUCUUAAGGCUAGGGUUAGGGGUUAAGGCUAGGGUUAGGUCUUAAGGCUAGGGCUGGGGUUAAGGCUAGGGUUAGGUCUUAAGGCUAGAGUUAGGUUUUACGGCUAGGGUUAGGUCUUAAGGCUAGGGUUGGGGCUAGGUCGGCUAGGGUUAGGUCUUACGGCUAGGGUUAAGUCUUAAGGCUAGGGUUAGGGUUAAGGCUAGGGUUAGGUCUUAAGGCUAGGGUUAGGGUUAAGGCUAGGGUUAGGUCUUAAGGCUAGAGUUAGGUUUUACGGCUAGGGUUAGGUCUUAAGGCUAGGGUUGGGGCUAGGUCGUAAGGCUAGGGUUAGGUCUUAAGGCUAGGGUUAAGUCUUAAGGCUAGGGUUAGGGUUAAGGCUAGGGUUAGGUCUUGAGGCUAGGGUUAGGUCUUGAGGCUAGGGUUGGGUCUUGAGGCUAGGGUUAGGUCUUGAGGCUAGGGUUAGGUCUUGAGGCUAGGGUUAGGUCUUGAGGCGAGGGUUGGGUCUUGAGGCUAGGGUUAGGUCUUGAGGCGAGGGUUGGGUCUUAAGGCUAGGGUUAGGUCUUAAGGCUAGGGCUGGGUCUUAAGGCUAGGGCUAGGGUUAAGGCUAGGGUUAGGUCUUAAGGCUAGGGCUAGGGUUAAGGCUAGGGUUAGGUCUUAAGGCUAGGGCUGGGGUUAAGGCUAGGGUUGGGUCUUGAGGCUAGGGUUAAGGCUUGCAAAGCUCCGCCAAAUACAGCACUAGAGCUGUGAUGUACUUUAGUAAAACACCCAGUCUCUAUAACUGCCUCUGAGUAGUCACAACUGUGGUCUUCAAACUGAACUAAACUAAGUCCCAUCAAAAGGAAGUAUACUUAGACUGAGAGGGAAGGUAACUGACCAACUCAUUUCCAUUAAGUGAUUCAUUGGUGGGGUAGCCUAUAUUUAGUCUAUACUGAGUGUAUAUUUAGGUUUUCACAGUUCGUAAUACUCUACUCUUUAUCACUUCCACGGUCAUUUCAGGUUCCUUCCUCUCAACUCCUACAUUGCCAAGCGCUCCACACACACACACGCAGACCAACCCACUGGUCCCCUACGCCCCAACACACAUCUCAUCCGGGAUAGAUCCUGAUUGGUUUUCCUCUCUGUGAGUAUUGUCUGUAAUUGAGUUUGACAGUGGAAGCCUGCAUGUCCUGUAGCUAUGUUAAACGCCCAAUUUACAUCUUCAUUUACAAUUCUACAUGGAUAAAAACCAAUUAAUUACACCAGACCGGGAAAGAGAUUCCAGUCAUGGAUUUUUCCCCGUUUUGUAUUUUAAUUUUGUCUUCCGGGCAAAUGACAAGGAAUUGUUUUACUAGAGCUUAGUAGUUUAAGUACAGAGAAGAGUCCAGACAUCACAAGUAAUGGAAUGCAUCCUUUGUUAAACCUACAGCUACUCUACUGACUAUGGUAUUGAAUAAAAUAUGGCUGUUAUUAAGUACCCAUGUAAACUAAAUACAUACUGAAAAUAUUAUAGUGAAUUGCCUAUGGCCAAGGUAAGUAGAAAAUCAUGUUAGGUGGUUUUUGAGUGUACAAGCCUUUAACUGCAUGGCCAAUUUCAUUAGCCUACAUGUAAAUAACUCAAAUCAAUGUCUGGAAGCAAAACAAAUGAGAGGAUUACUAAAGUUUUUCUG
rnacentral:lncRNA from 1 species